UACAGAGGUGGCAAGCGUUGUUCGGAAUUACUGGGCGUAAAGGGCGCGUAGGCGGCCUUCUAAGUCAGACGUGAAAUCCCCCGGCUUAACCUGGGAACUGCGUCUGAUACUGGAGGGCUUGAGUAUGGGAGAGGGAUGUAGAAUUCCAGGUGUAGCGGUGAAAUGCGUAGAUAUCAGGAGGAACACCGGUGGUGUAGACGGCUUUCUGGACCGUAACUGACGCUGAGACACGAAAGCGUGGGUAGCAAACAGG
rnacentral:rRNA from 1 species